rnacentral:rRNA from 1 species
CCUACGGGUGGCAGCAGUGGGGAAUAUUGGACAAUGGGGGCAACCCUGAUCCAGCCAUGCCGCGUGUGUGAAGAAGGCCCUCGGGUUGUAAAGCACUUUCAGUGAGGAAGAACGCCUGGUGGUUAAUACCCAUCAGGAAAGACAUCACUCACAGAAGAAGCACCGGCUAACUCCGUGCCAGCAGCCGCGGUAAUACGGAGGGUGCGAGCGUUAAUCGGAAUUACUGGGCGUAAAGCGCGCGUAGGUGGCUUGAUAAGCCGGUUGUGAAAGCCCCGGGCUCAACCUGGGAACGGCAUCCGGAACUGUCAAGCUAGAGUGCAGGAGAGGAAGGUAGAAUUCCCGGUGUAGCGGUGAAAUGCGUAGAGAUCGGGAGGAAUACCAGUGGCGAAGGCGGCCUUCUGGACUGACACUGACACUGAGAUGCGAAAGCGUGGGUAGCAAACAGGAUUAGAUACCCUAGUAGUC